GCCUUAGUAACGGCGAGUGAAGCGGCAACAGCUCAAAUUUGAAAUCUGGACCCAGUCCCGAGUUGUAAUUUGCAGAGGAUGAUUUUGGCGCGGUGCCUUCCAAGUUCCCUGGGACGGGACGCCGGAGAGGGUGAGAGCCCCGUCAGGUUGGACACCAAGCCUAUGUAAAUCUCCUUCGACGAGUCGAGUAGUUUGGGAAUGCUGCUCUAAAUGGGAGGUAUAUGUCUUCUAAAGCUAAAUACCGGCCAGAGACCGAUAGCGCACAAGUAGAGUGAUCGAAAGAUGAAAAGCACUUUGGAAAGAGAGUUAAACAGCACGUGAAAUUGUUAAAAGGGAAGCGUUUACGACCAGACUUGUGCCGGUUGAUCAUCCAGCGUUCUCGCUGGUGCACUCUGCCGGCCCAGGCCAGCAUCAGUUCGCCGCGGGGGAUAAAGGCGUCGGGAAUGUGGCUCCCCCGGGAGUGUUAUAGCCCUUCGCGCAAUACCCUGAGGUGGACUGAGGUUCGCGCAUUCGCAAGGAUGCUGGCGUAAUGGUCGUCAACGACCCGUCUUGAAACACGGACCAAGGAGUCGUCUUCGUAUGCGAGUGUUCGGGUGUAAAACCCCUACGCGUAAUGAAAGUGAACGCAGGUGAGAGCUUCGGCGCAUCAUCGACCGAUCCUGAUGUUCUCGGAUGGAUUUGAGUAAGAGCAUACGGGGCCGGACCCGAAAGAAGGUGAACUAUGCCUGUAUAGGGUGAAGCCAGAGGAAACUCUGGUGGAGGCUCGCAGCGGUUCUGACGUGCAAAUCGAUCGUCAAAUAUGGGCAUGGGGGCGAAAGACUAAU
rnacentral:rRNA from 1 species